rnacentral:rRNA from 1 species
UACAGAGGGUGCGAGCGUUAAUCGGAAUUACUGGGCGUAAAGCGCGCGUAGGCGGCUUUUCAAGUCGAUUGUGAAAUCCCCGGGCUUAACCUGGGAACUGCAGUCGAGACUGUCUAGCUAGAGUAUGGGAGAGGGAAGUGGAAUUUCAGGUGUAGCGGUGAAAUGCGUAGAUAUCUGAAGGAACACCGGUGGUGUAGACGGCUUUCUGGACCGACACUGACGCUGAGACACGAAAGCGUGGGUAGCAAACAGG